GAGGCUACUCAUCACCCGUAACUUUGGAAGUGUCGGUUAGUUGACAUACUAUUCACUUGUACCUCGUGCGAUUUCUUAUACGUGUACUUAUGUGCGUUCUAUGGGACGCACUGACGCCCAUAAAUUGAUUCGUGACUAUGUAGGUAUGUGUAGUGUUGUUGUGUGUACCUUGAAUUUCUUUCUACAUCUUCCUGUGGUGGCAUAGAAUGCGUGCAGUAAGGUAUGGUCUACCCUCUGUUUGACGUGCCUCGUGUCUUUAUGGUCGAUAUGCUUUUUUGUUUAAAUGAUGUUUCUCUGUUGCUCCCUCUGGGUAACAGAUUGUUAUUGACUUGGGUGUUGCCUAAUGGCCCUUGUGCCUCCUACCUCGCCUCUAAUCUGGGGUAGUGGGACCUUCAGGCCUACAAAGUUGUUUUAUUGAGCUAGGAAUGAAGCUAGUACCGGAUGCAACUUGCAUCAUAUCUCUCUUACAUUUAUGAACUAGCGGUUGAUCCAAUCCAUAUGUGUGAUCUCCCCUCAUCUACUUGCAGCUGCAUUCCACCAAUGGUCAGAUUGAUGCAUAAAUCAUCAUGUGCGUGGUGAUUCAGGAUAAACUAAUUGCCUGAUUGGGUUUUUGGUGCUGCCAAUUUAUCUGCGUAAGUUUUUGUAUUGUUGUCGUACAUCUCCAUAAGCUUUUCUAAUCUACACAAGCUUUUCUAACUGGUUUGAAUAGAGAAUAAGAUUAACAUCUUGUGAAGGAUUGUUGGGAUAUAUAAUAGUGCAAAUGUAGUUCAGGUGACCUUUUGGAUCUCCCUGCAAUUACUUAUUAACUAGACGUAUAACUCAGAUUUACAAGAAGGCAGAAAAUGAUGCAAAAUCUAUGUGUCCUUUUGGAUCUCACCAAUUGUCAGCACGUCUGCUUAUAGCGAAGUUCUAGAGAAGGUAAAUUCUUUUGAUAGAUGCAAAAUCUAGCAUUAUUUUAUCUUUUUACGCGUUGAUAUGACUUUUGUGAUAUGUCACGCUGUGAAGUGUUCAACUGUGUCUAACUACGUAUUAUUGCCUUCUCCUUUUUGUUGUACAGGAAAAGAUGGAAUUAAACUUAAAUUUUGGUGGCUGCAUAAGUGUGGAGACUUGAAUUGAUAUAUGCUUAGUUAGGCUCAACGUUAGCGCAAACCGUUGAUGCAAACAGUUGAUGACCAAGUUUUUCCAUUAGUAUUUUAGUAUGGAUUUAAAGUACACUUAUGUAUGAGUUAUUUGACAAUGCUUAUUUAUGAGAUAUUGAAUGAUACUUAUCUAUAUUAUAUUAAUUAUAAUGUUAUUAAAUAUAUUUGUGUAUGUAUAUUUCUCUU
rnacentral:lncRNA from 7 species